GAUGAACGCUGACAGAAUGCUUAACACAUGCAAGUCGACUUGAAGCAACUUCGGUUGUGGAAAGUGGCGGACGGGUGAGUAACGCGUAAAGAACUUGCCCUUCAGUCUGGGACAACCAUUGGAAACGAUGGCUAAUACCGGAUAUUAUGGAACUCUCGCAUGGGAGGAUCAUGAAAGCUAUAUGCGCUGAAGGAGAGCUUUGCGUUCCAUUAGCUAGUUGGUGAGGUAACGGCUCACCAAGGCGACGAUGGAUAGCCGGCCUGAGAGGGUGAUCGGCCACAAGGGGACUGAGACACGGCCCUUACUCCUACGGGAGGCAGCAGUGGGGAAUAUUGGACAAUGGACCAAAAGUCUGAUCCAGCAAUUCUGUGUGCACGAUGAAGGUUUUCGGAUCGUAAAGUGCUUUCAGUUGGGAAGAAGAAAGUGACGGUACCAACAGAAGAAGCGACGGCUAAAUACGUGCCAGCAGCCGCGGUAAUACGUAUGUCGCAAGCGUUAUCCGGAUUUAUUGGGCGUAAAGCGCGUCUAGGCGGGUUCAUAAGUCUGAUGUUAAAAUGCGGGGCUCAACUCCGUAUUGCGUUGGAAACUGUGAACCUAGAGUAUCAGAGAGGUGGGCGGAACUACAAGUGUAGAGGUGAAAUUCGUAGAUAUUUGUAGGAAUGCCGAUGGAGAAGUCAGCUCACUGGAUGAAUACUGCGCUAAAGCGCGAAAGCGUGGGUAGCAAACAGG
rnacentral:rRNA from 1 species